GCGUGCCUAAUACAUGCAAGUCGAGCGAACGGAUAAGGAGCUUGCUCCUUUGAAGUUAGCGGCGGACGGGUGAGUAACACGUGGGUAACCUACCUAUAAGACUGGAAUAACUUCGGGAAACCGGAGCUAAUGCCGGAUAACAUUUGGAACCGCAUGGUUCUAAAGUAAAAGAUGGUUUUGCUAUCACUUAUAGAUGGACCCGCGCCGUAUUAGCUAGUUGGUAAGGUAACGGCUUACCAAGGCAACGAUACGUAGCCGACCUGAGAGGGUGAUCGGCCACACUGGAACUGAGACACGGUCCAGACUCCUACGGGAGGCAGCAGUAGGGAAUCUUCCGCAAUGGACGAAAGUCUGACGGAGCAACGCCGCGUGAGUGAUGAAGGUUUUCGGAUCGUAAAACUCUGUUAUUAGGGAAGAACAAAUGUGUAAGUAACUGUGCACAUCUUGACGGUACCUAAUCAGAAAGCCACGGCUAACUACGUGCCAGCAGCCGCGGUAAUACGUAGGUGGCAAGCGUUAUCCGGAAUUAUUGGGCGUAAAGCGCGCGUAGGCGGUUUCUUAAGUCUGAUGUGAAAGCCCACGGCUCAACCGUGGAGGGUCAUUGGAAACUGGGAAACUUGAGUACAGAANAAGAAAGUGGAAUUCCAUGUGUANCGGUGAAAUGCGCA
rnacentral:rRNA from 1 species